UGUAAGUCCCUCUGAAACAUAAUAAUAAUCAUAUUCACAAUCAACCUCAUUCCUAAUCUGAUAUAUGAGCAUGACAAGGAUUUCUACAAUUUUCAUUUAAUGUACAGAGAACACGUUUUCAUCACAGAACAUGGCUCAAAUAAGAAUUCUAAAAAAUAUAUAAUUGUGAUAACUGAUGGACGUAUAUUUAUGGACAAUAUGACACUGACAGAGGUUUUGCAAAACCCCAAAAUAGAAAAUAUCACCCGCUUUGCUAUUGGGGUAGGGCCAGAGGUGUUGAACCAUACCAUAGCACUUAAAGAGAUGAGGGAGAUCGCCUCAGACCCAGAUGAGGAGCACUUUUUUAAGGCUGAUGAUUAUAAAGCAUUACCAGCCAUUUUGCAUUCAUUACAGGUGGCCGUUACUUGGACAGAUGAGAACAAUGGCCAUCAACAUUUUUCCAACAAAUCAGCACCGGUCCAAUCCCUCCCACCUCAAAGACACCAAUAAGGAUAGAUGGUAAAUCUUGCAUGUUUUGAAAAACUAAAAUGUAAACCCCUAAAACAAUCCUUUCAUAAAAAUGAAACCUCUUGCAACAUCAUGAUGAAGACAAAGAUAAGAAAAAACUUUGACUCCAGAGCCUUUGCCAACCUGGCCACAGCUUACCAGAUCUUACAAUGUAUUUCACAGCAUAUUGUUUGGAUUGGUGCCAAUAUGAUGAAUCAUUGCAUAAUCUUAGAGCUUUACUUUCAUUUAAUUAAAUACAUCUAAAUUGUUUUAAAGAGAUUUUAUAUCAUAGUGUACACUUCAACUUCUUUUGCAUAUUACCACAUCUGUUUAAAGUACCAGUGGCAGUACUAUACCAGCUUUAAGCCUUUUUUGAGAGAAUUGAGACUCAUUGACACGC